UACGUAGGGUGCGAGCGUUGUCCGGAAUUAUUGGGCGUAAAGAGCUCGUAGGCGGUGUGUCGCGUCGGCCGUGAAAACCUGGGGCUCAACUCUGGGCGUGCGGUCGAUACGGGCAUCACUGGAGUUCGGCAGGGGAGACUGGAAUUCCUGGUGUAGCGGUGAAAUGCGCAGAUAUCAGGAGGAACACCGGUGGCGAAGGCGGGUAGCUGGGCCGACACUGACGCUGAGGCGCGAAAGCCAGGGGAGCGAACGGG
rnacentral:rRNA from 1 species